rnacentral:rRNA from 1 species
AUACAUGCAAGUCGAGCGGACAGAUGGGAGCUUGCUCCCUGAUGUCAGCGGCGGACGGGUGAGUAACACGUGGGUAACCUGCCUGUAAGACUGGGAUAACUCCGGGAAACCGGGGCUAAUACCGGAUGCUUGAUUGAACCGCAUGGUUCAAUUAUAAAAGGUGGCUUUUACCUCCCCUUACAAAUGGACCCCCGGCCCAUUACCUAUUUGGUGAGGUAACGGCUCACCAAGGCAACAAUCCUUACCCAACCUGAAAGGGUGAUCGGCCACCCUGGAACUGAAACCCGGCCCAAACUCCUACGGAAGGCACCAUUAGGGAAUCUUCCCCAAGGAACAAAAUUCUAACGAACCACCCCCCCGUGAUUGAUGAAGGUUUUCGAAUCUUAAAACUCUGUUGUUAGGAAAAAACAAUUACCGUUCAAAUAGGGCGGUCCCUUAACGGUACCUAACCAAAAACCCACGGCUAACUACUUGCCACCACCCGCGGUAUUACUUAGGUGGCAACCGUUGUCCGGAAUUAUUGGGCUUAAACCCCGCCCAGGCGGUUUCUUAAUUCUAAUGGAAACCCCCCGGCUAACCGGGAAGGGUCAUUGAACCUGGGAAAUUAAUUGCAAAAGAAAUGAAUUCCCUUGUA